rnacentral:rRNA from 1 species
CACGUAGGGGGCGAGCGUUGUCCGGAUUUAUUGGGCGUAAAGAGCUCGUAGGCGGUCUGUUGCGUCUGCUGUGAAAACUCGGGGCUUAACCCCGAGCCUGCAGUGGAUACGGGCAGACUAGAGGUAGGUAGGGGAGAAUGGAAUUCCCGGUGUAGCGGUGAAAUGCGCAGAUAUCGGGAGGAACACCGGUGGCGAAGGCGGUUCUCUGGGCCUUACCUGACGCUGAGGAGCGAAAGCGUGGGGAGCGAACAGGG